rnacentral:rRNA from 1 species
AAAUAUUGGGACAUAUAAAAAAAGACAACUCUGUUCCGCAGAGUAGCUGUUGACAUUAUAGUUGCGCAGGCACUUUGUUGACUCUAGAGAACCUCGGGCCAAUCGCAUAUCCCCGUGGCGGUGACUUUGCAUUCGGAUGUCAUCCAUAUCAACUUUCAAUGCCAGUUUCUGUGCCUACCAUGGUGACCAUAGGUAACGGGGAAUCAGGGUUCCAUUCCGUACAGGGACCCUGAGAAACGGCUACCACAUGCAAGGAAGGCAGCAGGCGUGCAAAUGACCCACUCCCGACGCGGGAAGGUAGUGAU